rnacentral:rRNA from 1 species
UGGCGGACGGGUGAGUAACGCGUGGGCAACCUGCCUUACACAGGGGGACAACAGCUGGAAACGGCUGCUAAUACCGCAUAUGCGCACAGGGCCGCAUGGCCUGGUGUGGAAAACUCCGGUGGUGUAAGAUGGGCCCGCGUCUGAUUAGGUAGUUGGCGGGGUAACGGCCCACCAAGCCGACGAUCAGUAGCCGGCCUGAGAGGGUGGACGGCCACAUUGGGACUGAGACACGGCCCAAACUCCUACGGGAGGCAGCAG